rnacentral:rRNA from 1 species
GAUGAACGCUGGCGGCGUGCCUAAUACAUGCAAGUCGAGCGAACAGACGAGGAGCUUGCUCCUCUGACGUUAGCGGCGGACGGGUGAGUAACACGUGGAUAACCUACCUAUAAGACUGGAAUAACUUCGGGAAACCGGAGCUAAUACCGGAUAAUAUAUUGAACCGCAUGGUUCAAUAGUGAAAGACGGUUUUGCUGUCACUUAUAGAUGGAUCCGCGCCGCAUUAGCUAGUUGGUAAGGUAACGGCUUACCAAGGCAACGAUGCGUAGCCGACCUGAGAGGGUGAUCGGCCACACUGGAACUGAGACACGGUCCAGACUCCUACGGGAGGCAGCAGUAGGGAAUCUUCCGCAAUGGGCGAAAGCUUGACGGAGCAACGCCGCGUGAGUGAUGAAGGUCUUCGGAUCGUAAAACUCUGUUAUUAGGGAAGAACAAAUGUGUAAGUAACUAUGCACGUCUUGACGGUACCUAAUCAGAAAGCCACGGCUAACUACGUG